rnacentral:rRNA from 1 species
AUUGAACGCUGGCGGCAGGCCUAACACAUGCAAGUCGAGCGGAUGAAGGGUGCUUGCUCCUGGAUUCAGCGGCGGACGGGUGAGUAAUGCCUAGGAAUCUGCCUGGUAGUGGGGGAUAACGUCCGGAAACGGGCGCUAAUACCGCAUACGUCCUGAGGGAGCAAGAGGGGGAUCUUCGGACCUUACGCUAUCAGAUGAGCCUAGGUCGGAGUAGCUAGUUGGUGGGGUAAAGGCCUACCAAGGCGACGAUCCGUAAAUGGUCUGAGAGGAUGAUCAGUCACACUGGAACUGGAACACGGCCCAGACUCCUACGGGAGGCAGCAGUGGGGAAUAUUGGACAAUGGGCGGAAGCCUGAUCCAGCCAUGGCGCGUGUGUGAAGAAGGUCUUCGGAUUGUAAAGCACUUUAAGUUGGGGGGAAGGGCAGUAAGUUAAUACCUUGCUGUUUUGACGUUACCAACAGAAUAAGCACCGGCUAACUUCGUG